rnacentral:lncRNA from 1 species
UUUUAAAGAGGGUGAAUGAGUUCUUUCUAGAUGUAAAUGUGAUAUGUGCAGCAACAUGAGAACACACUCCAUAUUCUGAAAAUACAAUGCACUUUUCAGUUUCUAAGGACAUUGCUAAGUUGCAAAACAAAACAAACACUUUGUGUUUCCAGAAAGCAGAGGUUCAGGGGUAGAGGGUGGAGCAGUGGCAGGACUUGAAGAUAUAAACUACCUUAAUAGCCUCUAAAUUUAUGUUUCCACUCCUACUUCUCAUUUCCCAUGUCCUUCUGCUCA